rnacentral:lncRNA from 1 species
AAAAAUUCUCUAGGAAUAAAAUUACUCUGAGAAAAAAGUAUUCCUCUAAUUAUCACAGAUGGUGUGGUAUAUUUGCUCAGUCUCAUGGCGGGUACAUUCUGUUUUUAUCCUGGAGGAAAUGCAGAUACAGGAUAAUGAUGGAGCUGAGCAAGAUUCCUGAGAUUCCUGGUUUCAGGGAAUGCGUGCUUUGCUCCAGUUCUAUUUUCAGCUGCUUUCUGCCACUGUAGCCAAUAGCCAGAGACGCACAGAGGAUGAAAGGCCAAGGAGAAUGUUUGGUUUGAGAAGAAUUGCAGCAGACUGCAAAAAAUUUUGUUCUUUUGAUUCAUAAAUGGGGUGUUUUGAAGUUAGCACUGCAAAUGUGUUCAAACAGUAUGCAAAUUAGGACCUCGAUGAUUGAAUAGCUGAAAACAAUCUGGUGGCACCAUUCUGCCUGGGAUUUAGCUUAGAUUACAGAACACACUAAUGGGUAGAGGACUAGACUGGACUGCAUCAGGGCGGGCCUUGGGGAAUGCGGAGCUGUGAAGGAACACCAGGAAUUUGAGAGAAUUCUCCAGCAAUUUGAAUCCCUACAGCUUCAAAGAUCACUAACAACUUUCUACUAACUAGAUUUGCGGGCAAGUUGUUACUUCUGAGACUUGAAACCGUCUACAAUGUAUAACUUGUCCCACAUGAAUAUGACUGUGCUGUGAAAGACGACACGAGUGGAGCCCCAUUAAAACAGAGCCGGAGCAGCCAUUUCAGAGGAAUUGCCUUGCACGUCUUGUUUUAUCUUUCAAACUAGACUAAACUGCCAACAUUCCAAGAAGUCAGUAAGGACAAGAAUAUCCUGUUUGUAAGGACUGGUGAAGUUGGACUUUGCUGGUGACCGAAUCGCUAACCAAUCAAUAAAGUGCACGUCUAGCCUUGUGCCUGAUGACUGAAUCUCAAGCCCAUCUAUGAUGUACAGACCCAGCCUCACCUCAUCGAGCACCGAUGAACUCUUCUUCAACACAAAGUAUCUCAUCUUCCUCCCUUUUUCCUAUAAAAACCCUGAGCCCCUCUCCUGUAAUGGGGACACUAUUUGGUUUUCAACCUGAAUCUGUGCUCCCCACUUGCAGUCUCUGAUCCCAAAUAAAUGCUUUGCC